rnacentral:tRNA from 1 species
GAGCCCAUUGCUCAAUGGUAGAGCGUUCGGCUCAAUUACAAAAGGCCACGGGUUCGAAUCCCAGGGGGUUCA